AUGACUUUUUACGAUAUUUUCUCUAGUUCUAUAUAUAUUUAAGUUCAUGAUACAUCGCCCAAGAGAUGGGAGUUAGUCACCAAACCAUUUUAAACCAUCUGCAUAAGGCUGGAUUCACAAAAAAACGUGAUGUUUGGGUGUCGCAUGAUUUGACGCAAAAAAAAAACGUCUGGACCAAAUCAACGCCUGCGAAAUGCGUUGGCCAGACGCCAUCUACUGCGAACAACUGGACCACUUGAAGCACGCGAUUCUGGUCGAUCCAUAAUUGGCAAACAGGAAGGGUGUAGUGUUCCACCAGGACAACGCCAGACCACAUACUUCGUUGACGACUCGUCAGAAGCUACGGGAGCUCGGAUGGGAGGUUUUAUUGCAUCCACCAUAUAGCCCGGACAUAGCGUCAAGUGAUUACCACCUGUUCCCGUCCAUGGCGAACGCAUUUGGUGGUGUAAAGUUGAACUCAAAAGAGGCUUGUGAAAAGUGGUUGUCCGAGUUCUUCGCAAAUAAGGAAGGGUGCUUUUACGUGGGGGUUAUUAUGAAGUUGCCAUCUAGAUGGAAACAGAUUAUCUAACAAAACGGCGCAUAUUUACACUAAAUCCGAUCACUGUAACACUUUUUAUAAAGCAUUGAAUAAAGAGCUAAAAAGCGGAAGGGAGAUAUUUGCCAACCUAAUAUGCCAUGUCAAUCAAAAAUAUUGACCACAAACCAUUCAAUGCACUACCAGAACAGCACUUGUUGUAUGAUAUGUAAUACCUGCUACCUUAAUGGAAAAGGGUCUUUCGAACGAUCUCAAUAUAUUCUUUGGAAAGUAAAAGUUUAUAUCAACGCCAGCUACUAGACGCUUUAUUUGUAAAUGGUCCUUAUUUCCACCCUCUUCAACCCAUAUUUAAAGAAGUCAAGUGUCAAGCUUUAAACUUUAACCUUAGAAAAGAAAAAUUUUUGUAAUCUCUAUCAUUAUUGAUUUCAGCAUAGAAAACCCACAUCAGCAGUGUUCAAAAAUAACCUUUGGAUCUAGGAUGAAAUCUUUGGGAGCAGAAUUAUGUACUAGUAGCAAUAGAGAUACUUCAGUGUCCAACAAAGCAAAUAAGAGCACUGGUGAACUCAACUUGAUAUGACAUCUACUGCUAAUGCACCAAUUGGGUUUCAGCGAUCUAUAGCUUAUACGAUGAGCAGUGUCAUCGAAAGAUCUAUCUGGUAGUAAGCGCCUUAUUGAGCAAACAAGAAAGAGAUCGAAAAGUGUGAGUACGGAGUGUUCGAAAUAAAAACAAGUAAGGGAUGAUUGAUCCUUUAAAAGAUGAUUGACUGAUAAAAGUUCCAUAUUGAGUUGGAGAGUAUUUCUGAAACCCAACCACUAGCUUUAGAGAACUAAAACUUCUAAACUUCUAAAUUAUUUAAGGUUUUAAAAAGAAUAAUUUGUUUGACAUUUUCUGGUGAUGUUACAUAUAGCUGACUGAUCUUAAAUUAUUUUUAAAGAAAUUAUUAACGUAUAACUAA